rnacentral:lncRNA from 14 species
AGCAAAUUAAAACUCAAAAAAAACCCUCACCUGCAAAGCAUGUGUAAGGAACUCAUUUUAAUGCUUUCAAGCUGAAGUCACUGGGACAGCAGCCCAAAAAAAGAGCGACAAAGGUAUCUGGGCACCCGGAUAAAAAUAGUCAUGGAUUGCUUUGCUGCUCCUCCUGUUUUGCUGCCCUGGAGAUACAACAGUUCCUGAAGAUUCAGAAGCGAUUUGGUUCCAGGCUGUAUUUAAACAUAACUUUAUUAUGUGGGUAGAACAAUAAAAAAAUGAAUUAGAC